rnacentral:tRNA from 1 species
GGGCGCAUAGCGCAGUGGUAGCGCGUCCGCUUUGCAAGCGGAAGGCCCCGGGUUCCAAUCCCCGGUGUGUCCA